rnacentral:rRNA from 1 species
GAUGAACGCUGGCGGCGUGCUUAACACAUGCAAGUCGAACGGGAAUUACUUUAUUGAAACUUCGGUCGAUUUAAUUUAAUUCUAGUGGCGGACGGGUGAGUAACGCGUGGGUAACCUGCCUUAUACAGGGGGAUAACAGUCAGAAAUGGCUGCUAAUACCGCAUAAGCGCACAGAGCUGCAUGGCUCAGUGUGAAAAACUCCGGUGGUAUAAGAUGGACCCGCGUUGGAUUAGCUUGUUGGUGGGGUAACGGCCCACCAAGGCGACGAUCCAUAGCCGGCCUGAGAGGGUGAACGGCCACAUUGGGACUGAGACACGGCCCAGACUCCUACGGGAGGCAGCAGUGGGGAAUAUUGCACAAUGGGGGAAACCCUGAUGCAGCGACGCCGCGUGAAGGAAGAAGUAUCUCGGUAUGUAAACUUCUAUCAGCAGGGAAGA